CCUCCAGUAACACACCCUUGCAGUUUUGUGAACUCGCCGCACAGAAUGCCAAAUUAGUUGGAAAGAAAACUAGGAUUGAUAUUAAGUAAAAGCCAAAUAUACACAAGCUCAACAGGAAUUUGAAGAACGGACGCCAUGCACAAUCUAGUUGCAAACAGAUCCGAGCAAAAAAAGAAAGAAAAAUAAAAGGAAAAAAGAAUGAAAAAGCACAUAUGACGGGUCAGUACCAAAUCGAAGAUGCCAACUAGAGGAUGUGGCUGCUAACUUUGCUGAGCAUCCAUGAGCUCGUCAGGUUGUUGAUUGCUCUGGCGCCCCUCGCUGGUUGCUUGCUCUGGCGCCCGUCAUCGUUGACUCUCAUCCUUCUAUCCACUUGAGCCUAGGUUUCCUCGUAGCAGAAUGAUGUCUGCAGAAGAUUUGCCCAAGAUGUAUGCUGUGGCAGGAUCCGGCCUCCUUGCAUAGGUGCGCACAUGGCGUCCGACGCGUCGGGGACGAGCGUGGCGGAGGCGAUGGAGACCAGAGACGAAAAGUUCUUGCCCACAAGCUGAUAGCUCUACUAACAUCGAAGGGGACACAGCAACAGGCAAAGAUGGGGAUUACCC
rnacentral:lncRNA from 1 species